rnacentral:pre_miRNA from 1 species
AGUUAAUGAUUAAUUACUACCAUUAACAGUGGUAUAAUGAUACUUGGAAAUAGUAUCAUUAUACCACUGUUAAUGGUAGUAAUACGUU